UACAGAGGUCCCAAGCGUUGUUCGGAUUCAUUGGGCGUAAAGGGUGCGUAGGUGGCGCCGUAAGUCAGGUGUGAAAUUUCGGAGCUUAACUCCGAAACUGCAUUUGAUACUGCGGUGCUUGAGGACUGGAGAGGAGACUGGAAUUCCCGGUGUAGCGGUGAAAUGCGUGGAGAUCGGGAGGAACACCCGUGGCGAAGGCGGCCAUCUGGACCAGCACUGACGCUGAGGCACGAAAGCGUGGGGAGCAAACAGG
rnacentral:rRNA from 1 species